UCCAAAAUUUAAAUGGAAAAAUCGAAUAAAAAAUAAAGUUCCUCUAAGUUUAAAAAUCUUUGUUUCCGCUAGCCGUUGCUCUUUUGUUUGGAGUUAUUUUUUCCGUUUAGCCAUUGAAAAUGUCAUGAGGCCAAUAAUUGUCUGCUACUAGCACACUCUUGAAUUAGUGAUACUACUUCUGGAAGAACUUAAAGGAUAAAACUAAGCUGUUACGUUUACGUAUUAAAGUGUAUCAAAUCUUGCAACUGGAAUUAGGCAUUUCGGUAAUAAAAUUAUCAAAUAAACUUUUCUACUGUUCCAUGAAUCUGGAUUCCGUUGAUUUUGAAGUUUUUUUUGUUUGAUUUGAUUGGACUGGCUGUGUCACCAAAAUAAAGAAAUCACUUGCUUAA